AGAAGACAAGCUGUGUGUGCCACAGUGGGCAGAGCUGGAGAAGGAACCAUGCCCAGAAGAUUGUGAGUGGAUAUCAGACAAUAGGACAUGGAGUUAUUUAUAGGGCUGGAGUUUGGUUCAGACUGUGAGCGUGCCCUGGCUGGCUCUUCUCUCUUGAAAUAAGGAAGCAGGCAACGUAAUUCUGAUUUUUACAAGGAGCCCACAGUUGAGAGAUCUCAAACUUUAAAAGGAGCCUGUUCUCCCUGUCAACUACAGUACUCACUAAAGUACCGCAGACGCUUUCCGUAGACCAUUCACUUAGCACCCAGCCAUGCGUUUGGAAAUCCCCGGCAAGACACUGGUGAUGAAAUUGUGUGAGAUGUGGGACUGAUUCAGAUAGUCAAACAAGAACGAACAAGGCGGCUGCUGCUUUCCUCCUGUGGCCCCUGGUUGGUGUUGACGCAGUGGGACAAGAAGUUGGAGAUCUCCUGAAAGGAGGAUUGGACUGGCUUCAAGGAACGGGAUGACCCUAACCAGCAGCUCUGCCAACUACUGCUAUAUUUGCUUUUCUCUGGUUGGCUGGUUCUCAAGGCAUUUGCAGAACAGUAGUCAGUACUGGGAGCACCGUCUGAGUGUCAUCGGUGAGUGAUAUCCAUCUGCAGAGUAUGCUAAGAAGCUCCAGGUGCUGCUCUUAGACAAAGCAAAUGAGUGCACAGGACCGGCGGUGUAUAAAGCACUAGGGAGCACCAGCACAUCAGAGGACUUCCUGUUUUUGUGUAAAGAAGAGAGCUUAGUAAUCAUCUGUUUGCCUUGCUUGCUGCGCUGCUGGGAAACAGCACUGCUCUGCUGCACCAUCUUGCUCAUCGCAGGGGAAAACCCUUGAAAUACCCGUGGCCAUGGUCAGACACCAGGCCUUGUUUUUAGUUCUGAAACCAUGGAAGUUGUGGACGUAGAGUGGAAACUGUAGUCUUGGCUGCUAAUCCAGACCCAGGAAACCCUGCGGAGUUAUUGACUGUGGCUCAAACCUUGACUUUACCACAUAGCACAGCACCUAGCAAGUUACUGACUUUUCCGUGUCUGCUUUCUUCAUCUCUGGGAUCAGAACUGGAAUUCCAGUUUUCAUUGGGUUCUUGUCUUGAUGAGGAUUAAAUGGGCUCACGCAAGUGGUUAGGUGUUUAGCUCAGUGGUAAAGUUGCUUAGCAAACAUAAGGCCUUAGGUUUGUUUCUCAGCUUCAAACAAGCAAUAUAAACAAGAUGGAUCAAGAAUUGAAUGUAACUCCUAUGCUCUGAUUUUCUGCCAUCGUCAUUGUUUGUAAUUCAUAACAUUGUCUUUUCCAGAUCAAUCAAAAAUUGAAGUUAUUUACAUAAACGUGUCUCCCAACAAACCCAGUUGUGAAUUACACACAGAGUUAUGAUGUGUGUGUCUAAUUCAGCAGUACUCUUGAGCGUUUUUACUGGAGCCAGAAAGAUGGGGUAGGAAGGAGCAACAAGUUCCUCUCUGGGGCCUCUUGAAGAAACAGUAAGUGUACCGGAGCUCACCAGUGUAUUUGGUACAUCAACAACCUGACACCACUCAAGCCACACAGUUUCGCUGUAGUGUGGUUUGACCAAUUAGCACUGUUACCAAAUGAAUUAACUAAGAUUGUCAGCCCUUAGCUUCAAUUUUAACAUCAAUGUCAUUGAUGAAAGAAAAGGCAAUAAUGAUUAAACAUUAGUAUUCUAACCUUCUAAUUUCACUAAAAUUUGAACAUUAAAAAAAAAAAAAAACGAUUUAUUUAUUGAAUAUACAGUGUUCUGCCUGCAGGUGUGCCUGCGUGCCAGAAGAGGGCACCAGAUCUCAUUACAGAUGGUUGUGAGCCACCAUGUGGUUGCUGGGAACUGAACUCAGGAACUUUGGAAGAACAGCCAGUGCUCUUAAGCUCUGAGCCAUCUCCCCAUCUGCCACACAUUGAACAUUUUUUCACUGUUUUUACUUUUAAAAGGGGUGAGGGACUGGUGGGAUGGUUCAGUAGAUAAGAGUGCCUGUCACCAAGCCAAAUGGCCUGAGUUCAGUUCUCAGGAUCCACAUGGUGGAAGGAGAAAACUGACUGCUGAAUAUUGUCUUCUGACCUGUCUACACACGUGCCAACCUCACACAUACAGGCACACAAAAUAACUAAAAAUGUCUAAAGGUAGGAACAAUGUCUCAAUUCAUGCUAGAGGGUAAAGUAUGUUGUUUUACUCCUGACCCUGACGCUAGGAUGAUCACAUGUCCUUACUUAUGUAACUCCUAUGCUCUGGGAAGUAUCAGGGAAGUACAGAUACAGACCAGCUCCAGAAUAAAGUCAGGCUCUCUCUUGCUUCCAAAACCAACCUGUGUUAAAAAUAAAUUUCUGGGGUAGGCUUCUGCAUAGAGGGCCUCUGAAAGACUCUACCCUGAAGGGUAUCAAAGCAGAGGCUGAGACUCAUAGCCAAACUUUGGGCAGAGUGCAGGGAAUCAUAUGAAACAAGGGGGCGGGGGAGAUAGAAAGAUCUGGAGGGGACAGAAGCUUGUGGUCUUUUCUGAGACUUAUACUCCAACCAAGGACCAUGCAUGGAGAUAACCUAGAAACCCUGCUUAGAUGUAGCCCAUGGUAGCUCAGUGUCUAAGUGUGUUCCCUAGUAAUGGGAACAGGGACUGUCUCUGACAUGAACUCAGUGGCCUGCUCUUUCAUUUCCUCCUCCUGAAGGGGUGUAUUCAGCCUUACCAGGCCACAGAGGAAGAUAGUGCAGCCAGUCCUGAUGAGACCUGAUAGACUAGGCUCAGAUGGAAGUGGAAGAGGACCUCCCCUAUCAGUGGACUGGGGUAGAGGCAUGGGAGGAGAAGAGGGAGGAAGGGUAGGAUUGGGAGGAGACAAGGAAG